rnacentral:misc_RNA from 1 species
GAUAAGUUGGAUGCAAAAAAUGGGUUCCUGUGUUGCAUACCUAUUGUGAUGGAAAUUUGUCCAUUUCGUUGUCCCUUUCGUCAUAACAUCCUUUUGGAUGCUUUGUCGGACUAGAUAGUAGGGCUUGUGUUCCACGAACCAUCUCAUGGGAUCGUUCGGAUGGACCAUGAGCGCCUACUCGUUCUCUCGGAUGCGGAACUUUCUUCAUGGGUAUGGGGUCAUUGCCCCCUAUUUCCCAAAUCUUUAAGCGUUCGUCGCUUUAYUGGAAUGACGCUCUUGCCUUGUCUUGGACCAUGUGGAGCUUUCGGGCUUCAUGAUGGAUCAUGCUUGGCGGACGUCGUGAAGGAAUGCU